AUCCAAUCUAUUAACAUACAGAACAUUAGCACCAUAAGAAUCGAACAAAUUACAAUAAUUAAUGUAUGUGGUUCAUACAUCAAUAACAUUCUCUAGCAAUGUACCAAUAUUAGCAUAGAUACACCGUUAACAAACUACAAAAAUUGAACAUAUAAGCUCCAAAUUCUGACCCAUUUACAACAUUUCAGCAUUCAAAAAUGGCCUCCAUGCCCAUUCACAUCCAAAAUCUUUACGGGUCAUACACAUCAACCAUUCAAAUCUCCAAAGACCAUAACUUAGAGAACCUGUAAAAUUAUUUUGCCCACUAGCACAUCAUACAUAAAUAAAAGUCAUUGUAUUUGAAAGUAUGUAAUACAAGAACUUCACUAUUCCUUGACUCUUUCCCUACACCCUCUAGAGAAAGGAGUCUUCGUCAAAGCUGUAGGCACUCAAACGCGUGUCGAGAGCUUCUUCGUUGCAACGGCAUCAUCAACCACAUUUGGUACGGCAGUCACCAAUGGCAUAUCCAGGUCAGCCCUUCCUAUGGACGAAGCAAAGUUCAUCUACAAAAAUCAGUAACAUUCAUACAUGUUAAUUCAAAACAAACCUUUAAGAUUAGCUUAACAAAUUCGGCAUAUGACUUCAAAUGUAGAUAGAAGUUACUCAAUUGUCGAGAAUUCUAGUGACAAUUCUUUUCGACAGAUGGUUCCAUAACUAUAUAGAGUGGCAAUUACAUUUCAACGAGUAUACUUACAAAGAGUGUAAUAUUUCGAUUAUUUGUAGGUAGUGAAAAGUGUAAUGCAUGAUCAAGCAAAUAUAUUAAUAAAGAACAUGCUCUAGCAAAAUGAGGGACAUCACCCAUGCAUAUAAUAUGUAUUCGCUUAUAAAUGGUGGUGUCAAAUUAUACGCGAUGAAAUAACUUUAAACAAGUGCUCAAUGAAAUUGAGGAGAGGGUGUAUAAUGUUCAUGUAUGUAUAAGUACUCAGAUAAUAUGAUAAACUCAAGUUCCAACAUUUGAAAUGCAAAGAGAAAUGACAAGCUUCAUUCAUUACAAUCCAUAGGAGACAUACCCCUCCAUUCGAAUGACACAAACGUGAAUGGAACAAAAUCAACUGAAUUUUCAAAAACAUACGAGGAAGCAAACCCACUUGAAGAAAUGUAGUAUGAAAGCCUCCAAUGUAUUCAUUAUUUUCAAAAUAAAAAACAUUAGUAUACAGAAAGAAUAGAACACCCUUAUCAAAUUCAUAAGUAUAAGUAAAGAAAGAGAGUAAAAUAGUGUAAUAAGUACAUGACAUUAAAGUUUAAUCAACAUUUGAAGUUCCAUAAAACAAAUUAAUAGCCUAAAUGUAUGAAUUCCAGCAAUAUUCCAUUUGCAUAUUCAACCUAAACUUUUGAAUAUUUGAGUACAAACAUUGGCAGGCAAACUAAUAUAAAUACAAGAAUAAUAAAAGCUUAUUACGAAACUUACACACGGAUCUUCGGAAGAAUUCAUCAAAACUAAUAGGAACCCAACACAAACCUACAACAAAAUCCAAGUAUUUUACAUUUCACACUCACGAAAUUGAAAAGUAAACAAUAGAAAAUUUCAUUAAUGGAGUGAAAAUGGAAAGACGGGCUCCGGCGAUGACCGCAAGUUUGACAAAAUAAAUCCACUUCACACUCACGAAAUCGAAAAACAAACAAAAGAAAAUUUCAUUAAUGGAGUGAAAAAUGGAACGACGAGUUUCAAUGAUGACUGAAGGGCUUCAUCGAAAAUUGUUUUGUCGUCAAUUGGCGGACGGCGCAAAGUUCGAGUAAGAAAGAGGGGAGUGCAUUUAGCUCCCAUUUGGCUUCCAUUAGAACUCAUCAAUUUAAUUUAAAUAUCUCUCUUUUCUAUUUUCAAUCACACAAUAUUCAAUAAAAUAAUAUUUCACGCAAAUUGAAAUUUUUUCAUUCUUUUACAACUAUCAAUUUUUCAAAAAAAAUUAUUUCCCCACUAUAAAUCCAAGCAACGGGGGCCAAGCAGGAGCUUAGGGUUAGGUUCGUAUUAAAUGAG
rnacentral:lncRNA from 1 species